rnacentral:rRNA from 1 species
GGGUUGUGAGGUUAAGCGACUAAGCGUACACGGUGGAUGCCCUGGCAGUCAGAGGCGAUGAAGGACGUGCUAAUCUGCGAAAAGCGUCGGUAAGGUGAUAUGAACCGUUACAGCCGGCGAUGUCCGAAUGGGGAAACCCAGUGUGAUUCGUCACACUAUCGUUAACUGAAUACAUAGGUUAACGAGGCGAACC